AAAUGCUGCCUCUGAAGAAGUCUGUGUUGGUAGAAACAUCUGAGAAUGUUCUUGAUUGCUAAUGGCUAGGAUGGCCGCAC